CACGAUUUGAAUUCGCGAAAAGUAAACAAAACACGUGCGAGAUUAUAAUUUACAAGUGUGCGAUAAAGUGAUAUACUACUACUACUACUACUACUACUGCUGCUGCUGCUACUACUACUACUACUACUAUUACUACUACUACUACUAUUACUACUACUACUACUAAGGGAAGAGGAGCGGGCGGCUGUAACUCACGAGGAAAGGAUGGAACCAAGAGGAGGAGGAGAGAGAUAUACUGAAGUGUUAAAGGAGAGAAGAGGUAGAGAAAAGGAGAAGUAGUGAAUAAGCAGUAAAGAGAAGGAAAUAGAAGUAAAGUAGUAACGAAGAAAUGGAGAAUGAGAGAAAUGAUAAACGAGGAACCAAGAGGAGUAGGCGAGAGAUAUACUGAAGUGUUAAAGGAGAGAAGAGGUAGAGAAAAGGAGAAGUAGUGAAGAAUCAGUAAAGAGAAGGAAAUAGAAGUAAAGUAGUCACGAAGAAAUGGAGAAUGAGAGAAAUGAUAAACGAGGAACCAAGAGGCGUAGGCGAGAGAUAUACUGAAGUGUUAAAGGAGAGAAGAGGUAGAGAAAAGGAGAAGUAGUGAAGAAUCAGUAAAGAGAAGGAAAUAGAAGUAAAGUAGUCACGAAGAAAUGGAGAAUGAGAGAAAUGAUAAACGAGGAACCAAGGGAGGAGGAAAAUUAUGUAGGCAAGUAGUAAAAAAAGUGAAGAAAUGGGGAAGUGAAGAAGUGGUACACAGGAGGAAAGUGAAAACGUACAGCAGUAAAUAGAAGAAAUAGAGAAGAAGAGAAACCAUAAAAAAGUGCCGAGAGCAGGAAAAUGGAUAAGUAGUUAGAAGCAUUAAGAGGAGGAAAGAGGAAAAAGUAAAGCAUUAAAGAAGAGAAAAAGUAGAAAAGUAAAGUAGGUAAGAAGCGAUAAAGUGGACGAAAAAGUAAAGUAGUAAAGAAGAGAGGAAAUAGAAAAGUAAAGUAGUUAGAAGCAUUAAGAGGAGGAAAGAGGAAAAAGUAAAGCAUUAAAGAAGAGAAAAAGUAGAAAAGUAAAGUAGUUAAGAAUCAGUAAAGUGGAGGAAAGAGAAGUAGUAAAGUUCUUAAGUAGUAAAGUGGACGUAAAGAAGACAACAAUCAAACACCUGCUUCUCCGGUUAAUAAUCUGCCAAGAAAGGAAGAAAAAAUAUUAAGAAGAAAAAAUAUUAAGAAGAAAAAAACAUCAGAGGACAAGGAAAGGAAAUGAAGGUGAGUGAUUUACCUGCAUCCUCGCCUUACCUUCCUGCCGGUGAUGCUGUGGGCUUGUGGGAACGGCAAAGAGGCUUACCAGGAGUGCUGUGCGCCAGGUCCGCGUCCCUCGUCGGCCCUCGCAGGUGAAGAGCGACUCACCUGCGAGCAAUACACACCUGGCGGGGGAUGAACGGCUCACCUGGGACGCCGCGGGGCAAUCAACACACAGACAGAACGAGAAGAAAAAAGAAAAAAGAAGGAAAAGGAGUUGACGUAAAUAUCCCAACAACAACAACAACAACAACAACAACAACAACAACAACAG